AACACUGUUAACCUGCGGUACCUGCGGAAGGAUCAUUCAUAAUAAAAGUGUUUAUGGCACUUUUCAAACAAAUCCAUAUCCACCUUGUGUGCAAUGUUUUUUUUUUAUAUAAUUGAACACCUUUCUUUAAUUGACAAUUGUAUCUGAAGAUCAGUAUUAUUAUGAAUUAACUUAAUUCAAAAUAUAACUUUCAGCAAUGGAUCU
rnacentral:misc_RNA from 1 species